rnacentral:rRNA from 1 species
AAUCAACGCUGGCGGCGUGCCUAACACAUGCAAGUCGAACGGGAAAGUGGAGCAAUCCAUGAGUAUAGUGGCGACCGGGUGAGUAACACGUGACUACCUGCCCUUGAGUGGGGGAUAACCUCGGGAAACCGAGGCUAAUACCGCAUAAUAUCGAAAGAUCAAAGGAGCAAUCCGCUUUUGGAGGGGGUCGCGGCUGAUUAGCUAGUUGGUGAGGUAAUGGCUCACCAAGGCGAAGAUCGGUAUCCGGCCUGAGAGGGCGCACGGACACACUGGAACU